GCCGGGCGUGGUGGCGCAUGCCUGUAAUCCCAGCUACUUGGGAGGCUGAGGCAGGAGAAUCGCUUGAGCCCGGGAAGCGGAGGUUGCAGUGAGUCAAGAUCACGCAAUUGCACUCCAGCCUGGGCGACCGAGUGAGACCUUGUCUCAA
rnacentral:SRP_RNA from 2 species